rnacentral:rRNA from 1 species
GACGAACGCUGGCGGCGUGCUUAACACAUGCAAGUCGAACGGUAAGGCCCUUCGGGGUACACGAGUGGCGAACGGGUGAGUAACACGUGGGUGAUCUGCCCUGCACUUCGGGAUAAGCCUGGGAAACUGGGUCUAAUACCGGAUAGGACUCCGGACUGCAUGGUCUGGGGUGGAAAGCUUUUGCGGUGUGGGAUGGGCCCGCGGCCUAUCAGCUUGUUGGUGGGGUGAUGGCCUACCAAGGCGACGACGGGUAGCCGGACUGAGAGGGUGACCGGCCACACUGGGACUGGGAUAUGGCCCCGACUCUUACGGUAGGCAGCAGUGGGGAAUAGUGCACAAUGGGCGCAAGCCUGAUGCAGCGCCGCCGCGUGAGGGAUGACGGCCUUCGGGUUGUAAACCUCUUUCAGCAUCGACGAAGCGAAAGUGACGGUAGGUGCAGAAGAAGGACCGGCCAACUACGUGCCAGCCGCCGCAGUAA